CACGGAAUGAGGGGAUUGGCGGGCACGGACCUAUGGGCGCAGCAAACAUGCAGGAGACCGGCCAGAAGAGUAUAGGCCCAUCACCCGACCCCUCACCUAUGGGAGCUGAGAAGACGUAUUCGGGAACACGUCUUGGGUAUUGAAGCUGCUAAAAAUGAAGAUGACAUGAAUCAAUUGAAGACGAUACCAAGACACUUUAAGGAGUACCACUCAUGUGACAGCAGUCUCUUGAAGCUUGGUCUGUGUGUUUUUUAGAUCCUGGAAGAAGUGUCAGCUUGAUGUGGACCGGAAGGCACUAGUGAAGCACCUUUCAUGGCCAGAUGACUUAUUAAUUUUGUCAUGAUAUGGCCCUUAUUGUCCCAUUUUAAUAUUUAGUAUGCUACCCCUAGGGGUAUGAUGGGUGGGGCAUGCUUUACAAAAAAUGUUUUAUUAUAAUAAUUUUCAUGAUAAUAACUUUAUAACUAGAUCGGUAUAUGUAUUGAUAUUUAUUAUAGUUGCUUCUAUAUAUUGCACUUUAUUCUAGUGCACUUUUUUGAAUAAUAGCUUAUCUAUACAGCACUUUAUCUCAGUACACUGUAUGAUUACAAGUAACAACGAUUGAUAUUUAUAUUUAUCAAUUUUAUUUAUUUUUGUCACGAUGCCGGCUGGCAGGAGGUGGAUCCUCUGUGCCAGAGAGGGAUUGGCGUGGACCGUGCUAGUGGACCGGUUCUAAGGUACUACUGGUGUUCACCAGAGCCCGCCGCAAAGCGGGAUGGUCUUGCUGCAGCGGUAGUAACCAGGUCGUAUCCACUAGCAACGGCUCAACCUCUCUGACUGCUGAAGAUAGGCGCGGUACAAGGGAGUAGACAAAAGCAAGGUCGGACGUAGCAGAAGGUCGGGGCAGGCAGCAAGGAUCGUAGUCAGGGGCAACGGCAGGAGGUCUGGAACACA